rnacentral:rRNA from 1 species
UACGUAGGGUGCGAGCGUUAAUCGGAAUACUGGGCGUAAAGCGUGCGCAGGCGGUUCGUUUGUGUCGGGCGGUGAAAGCCCCGGGCUUAACCUAGGAAUGGCCGUUGAAACUGGCGAACUGGAGUGUGGCAGAGGGGGGGUGGAAUUCCGCGUGUAGCAGUGAAAUGCGUAGAGAUGCGGAGGAACACCGAUGGCGAAGGCAGCCCCCUGGGCUAACACUGCGCUCAGGCACGAAAGCGUGGGGAGCAAACAGGAUUGAGAAACCCCUGG